CUUAAAUGGCACUGCAUAUUUAAAAGACACUGUUUCCCUGGUGCCUUGUGUGGCAUGAGAACACUGGCACAGUUUGCAGGAGCAGCAUGUGUCCAGGCUUAUUCUCACAUCCUGGAUGAAGAGAGGGGACCUAGGAAAGGACCAAGGAAGAUGUCUUCUUAUUCCGCCUAGUUAGAGGAUAUAUGCCUGCUCAAGAAACAAACAAAUUGUCCCGAAGCACAGCAGGGCCUGGGUGACUGGAAGACUGGAAUUCCUCUGGGCUGGAGCUCCUCUGUGAUUCUACAGGACUGACCACUGCCAGUCCUAAGGAGGAAGAGGUGAUAAUGACUCAACGUGGACAUACUGGGAAGAAAGAAGAAAUUUGGUGAAAUUCUGCAGGGCUGUCCUUGGGAUCCUGUCUGAAGAGAAGGCAAGAGAUGUGCAGAGCCAAACAGUAGUCCUCGGCAAGGCGUGGUCCCGGCCAUUGUCUAGGCUUCAGCCUCUUCUGCAAGGCAGCUCGACAAACCAUGAGAAACGGUGUGAAGCCUCUCUCCAGCAGACACGUUGCCUCCUUGGCGGAGUUUUCCAGCUCAGUAGAGUGCAUCUACCAUGUUCAGAAGACUACCCAACUCCAUAUGUGAUUCAGCCCAGCUUUUGCCCUCUGAAAUCUUUUGACAAGCCCCAUCUCUCAUCUCCAGUUGGAGUCAUCCUGUCACUGCAAAGACUCAGGAUGGUGCUGAACAGCAAACCAUGUACACAGCCUGGGAUCAGCUUCCAAAGAGCUCUUUGAAGGCUGCUGGGGCUCUAACAAAGUCUCAGAGCAAGACAACAGGUCCGAGGAUCCUUAAAGCAUUCUUAUUGUUUUGAAGAUAAAAC
rnacentral:lncRNA from 1 species